ensembl:lncRNA
ACUACUGUUGAUGUCCAGAAUGUCCCCUAAAAAAAGGAGCUGAGUGGUUUGAAAAUAAACAUCUUCAAAAAAACAAAACAAACAUACAAUACAUAUGUAUGAUAGUGAUUUUAUUAAGUAUAAAAGUCAUAUCAAAUGAGAUUAGGAGACUCUUUCUCUUUUUUUUUUAUUUCCCUUGCUUUCAUUUCACGUGAAGUCCACACCCCAAAAGUGAAUCGGCUCUGACGUCAGACGUCUCACUCUGCUCAACACAACAGUUGAAUCGACGGCAGUUUCCUGUCUUACAGACAUCAUCCUGAGAGAUAAAAGGCACACCAUGUAUGCAGUUGUUACUCUGCAAGACUCAGAUGAGGUGGUGGUGGCACCAACAAACUGGCUGAGCCUAGACAAGAAACAAUGUUACUGGCCCCCAUUCAAAUCACCAGACAAGUGCAUGGAAGCUGUUCAGAACAGAAUUAAAACUGAAACAGGAGGGAAACCAUGGGAGAAACUGAACAUUAGCUUUCACAGAGAACAUGACACUUUUGAGAAGGCAAAAGAGGGGCAAAAAGAAACCAAAGAACAGAAAGAACGGUCAUAUCUAUUAGCCACUGGAUUCCCUGGAAUACUAAAAAGACAAAGACUUGAAAGCACUCAAGGAAUGUCAAAUAAUUAUCUACAACCACUUCCUGCAGUAACACCUGCAUCGACAUCCAGAAUGACAGCUGAUGAGAAGGAUGAGCUCCUCCAAAUGCUGAGAGACAUCAAGAGCACGGUUCAGGAAAACCGUGCUAUGUUAAAGAAACUACUAAAAGACAAUACAGUUUCUGAAGCCCCCAGCAGUACAAGCGUGCCUUCAAAAGCUAUUAAAGCAAACCUAAAACUGCCUCUUGGAACCUUUGAAGAUUUGGCCAUGAGUGAAAAAGAGCUCAGCACCGCAACAACACGGAAAAAAUAUGUCAAAUUUUUGUCAGGACUUGGAGGUUUUGGCCCCAAGGAUGUGAUUAAGAAUAUUAUGCAGCAAGUUAUAACAGAUGAUCUGGCUAAGGAGUUCAACUGGCAGGGGAGAGGAGAAAAAAGACCCUUCUCUCAUCUUAUUUUAACAGAUGUGAUCCGAGAUGCUGCAUUCAAACGAAGUGUAAACAGGGCUGAGUGUGAAAAUGAAAUAAAAAAAUAUUUGAGUUACACAGCUGACAGACUCGGUCGGAAGCGACUAAGAGAACAAGGAGGUCCUGGGCUUGAGAAUCCAAAUGAGAUUUCCCCCUCACUGAUGCCAGAGACAGACAUACCUUGGGACAUUUUGGGAUUUUGA